AACGCGAAGAACCUUACCUGGGCUUGAACCGCACAGGACCAGCCUGAGAAAUCAGGCCUUCCCGCAAGGGACCUGUGUAGAGGUGCUGCAUGGCUGUCGUCAGCUCGUGCCGUGAGGUGUUGGGUUAAGUCCCGCAACGAGCGCAACCCUUACUCAUAGUUGCUACCCGCAAGGGAGAACUCUAUGAGGACUGCUCCGGAUAACGGAGAGGAAGGUGGGGAUGAGGUCAAGUCAGCAUGGCCUUUAUGUCCAGGGCUACACACGUGUUACAAUGCGCGCCACAAAGCGUCGCGAACCCGCGAGGGGGAGCUAAUCGCAAAAAAGCGCGCUCAGUUCGGAUUGCAGUCUGCAACUCGACUGCAUGAAGCCGGAAUCGCUAGUAAUGGCGCAUCAGAACGGCGCCGUGAAUACGUUCCCGGGCCUUGUA
rnacentral:rRNA from 1 species